rnacentral:rRNA from 1 species
GACCCCAUGGAGCUUCAAACCCAACUACACCCCUAGCUCUUAUAGCCCCACAACCCCCCCUAGGCGCCGUGUGCUUGGUUUUAGGUUGGGGCGACCGCGGAGUACAAUAAAACCUCCACAAUGAAUGGGAACACCCCCUUAUCUGAGGGCCACACCCCCUAAGAAUUAGAACACUAACAUAAAAUGAUCCAUUACUUGAUCAAUGAACCAAGUUACCCUGGGGAUAACAGCGCAAUCCAUUUCAAGAGCCCCUAUCGACAAAUGGGUUUACGACCUCGAUGUUGGAUCAGGGUACCCCAGUGGUGCAGCAGCUACUAACGGUUCGUUUGUUCAACGAUUAAAACCCU